UACAGAGGUCUCAAGCGUUGUUCGGAUUUACUGGGCGUAAAGGGUGCGUAGGCGGCGCGGUAAGUCGGGUGUGAAAUCUUGGAGCUUAACUCCGAAACUGCAUUCGAUACUGUCGUGCUUGAGGACUGGAGAGGAGACUGGAAUUUACGGUGUAGCGGUGAAAUGCGUAGAUAUCGUAAGGAAGACCAGUGGCGAAGGCGGGUCUCUGGGCAGUUCCUGACGCUGAAGCACGAAGGCCAGGGGAGCAAACGGG
rnacentral:rRNA from 1 species